UCUGAAUUUUAAAAAAAAAAUUAAUGCCUCGACAUCUUUAUUAUCAAAUUUCAUUAACUUUAAUACAUCCUGGAUCCGUUUUCUGAUUUCCGAUUAAUUUAUCAAACAAAAUCUAUCCAUUCAUCAAGUUUUGAUUAGAUUGACUGAUAUCAAAAUAACAGAUUUGAAAAUCCAGGAUUUUUUUUCAUGAUUGAAAUCUCUACCGCAUCAUUUGAUAUAUAUGAAGAGAUGAUUCGAAUCAAAUAUCUCGAUCGAGAGUUGCCCAUGGUGAUCGUAAUAAUGAUUAUAAUUUGCUAGUGAUCGCUUGAUAAUGAAGAUAUGUGCAAUCCAUGCAUUCGGUAAUCAUUUUAACCAUCUUCAUCAUCAUCAUCAUCAUCAUCAACAUUAAAUGUUUUUGAAAAUGAAACUUGAAAACAUACAACUUGUUGUUGUUGUAUCCGUAUCAUAUACACCGUGAUCAUCUUUGAAUGAACGAUGGAAAGAUGAUCAUCAGUAUAAUGAUGAUUACCACGUAUUAAAUCAUUUUGUUUGUACAUGGAUUUUAUGUUGAUUUUAAAACGAAACAAAACAAAAAAAAAUCACAGAAAAUUCAAUUCAAAAUAAAAAAAAGGAAAUUA